rnacentral:lncRNA from 1 species
UUUUUGCUUUUCUUGAACCCCACAACCUUCUGAUGAUGAUUUUUUUUGCUUUUCUUGGACCCCAAAACUUCUUUGAUUUUCAUUCACACGAAUGAUCCCCGAUCACCGCAUUUGAACCCCGAUAACUUCAUGUCACUCCUACCGCCAAAUAAUGAACCCCGUUCUCCUUUUGAACCCCAGUCGCCUGACGAUAACUCGCAAUCGUCGUUGUGAACCCCAUUCUCCAGAAAACACCCCGUGUCCCCUUUUCUCCAUUUGAACCCCGUUCUC